rnacentral:misc_RNA from 1 species
GAAAUGCGAUAAGUAAUGUGAAUUGCAGAAUUCAGUGAAUCAUCGAAUCUUUGAACGCACAUUGCGCCCGCCAGUAUUCUGGCGGGCAUGUCUGUCCGAGCGUCAUUUCAACCAUCAAGCCCCCGGGCUUGUGUUGGGGACCUGCGGCUGCCCGCAGGCCCUGAAAACCAGUGGCGGGCUCGCUGUCACACCGAGCGUAGUAGCAAUCACCUCGCUCAGGGCGUGCUGCGGGUUCCGGCCGUUAAACAGCCUUACAAAACCCAAGGUUGACCUCGGAUCAGGUAGGAAUACCCGCUGAACUUAAGC